UUAAAUGGUGCUAUAGAUUAUAUUAUUGUUGUUGCUGCAGUUGGUUGGUACUUGGUAUAUGGCCUUCAAUUUUUUGUUUGUUCUAGGAAAUUUAUCUUAUAAUUUUUCAGCCUUGUGGUUCUAGGAUCACUCUUUCAUUGCUGGGCUGAAACUAUAUGGAUAAAACUGUGGAUUGGGAACUAUAGAUACCCUCUUUUUUUGUGCAAAAAGUCCUAUUCACCAGCGUGAGAUGUAGACUGAGCAUUCAUCAUUUGCUGCACUAGAUAGGACGUAGGAACUGAUAUUGAAGGUGCUAAUGGGAAUGGGUGGUUGUGGUUGUAAGCAGCUACAUAUUUGUUGUAGGUGGGGUGGUAAAGAGGUAUUCUUGCCUUGUAAGGGUAUUCUCACAAUGGCUGACCCUUUGAGCUAUAUCUACGCUAUUGAGAUUGGAAUUGUUAAGGGAUGUUUGAUUGACUGAUGCAAGGUGAAAGGGACCUUCAACAAUAAAUUAUUUUCUUAUGCACAUUUUUG
rnacentral:misc_RNA from 1 species